GCUGAGCCGCGGAGAGCCGCGCAGCGCCGACGGGGCGGCCGCCGGGAGCGCGGCCCGGCGGAGAGCUGCGGGCGGCGGCGAGGCCCCGAGCGGCGACCUCCAGCGCGGCUCUUCCAGCAGACCAGGACACAGCAGAGGCACAUGCACAGGAACAUCAAUGCCAUUCUCACGGGAACCUCAGACAAGAUCAGAAUGGCUCCAUGACAUGGGGACACUUUUCCUGCUAUGGGGUAAAAAACUGGGGGAUGAUUUCUGAUAGACCUGAUUCCUGGAUAGACCCAACAAGUGCAGAAGGAGCCACCACGACACAGUGGGCUGUUGGGUGUCAGAAGAGGCAGGUCCCUACAGACAGUCAGUGCAGACAGUGCUGCCCUCCCCCUGUGCUGGGACAGAGCAGCCAAGCCUGCAGCAUUGCUGAAAGGAGGUGAAAUACUUCCCAGACCUAAGACGUGCCACAUAACUGGUCAGACCACCGAUAUGCUGGGAAUACACUUGCUGAAAAACACAAAAGAGAAGGAAAAACCAGGAUACCCCAUGGAAGGACAGGGACGAGCGGCAAGAGAGCCUGGAGCAGCAGCUGCCGUGCAGGGCCAAGGCUCAGCACCGUGCCAGCAGAGCAGGACACAUCUGCCCAGUGAGUGAUUUCGUUUACUUCGGUGGAGUUAGGCCAGGAAUGGACUUGGCCCCAGCAUGUCUGAGGGUUAUUGUAUCUGCAUUCCCCGAUGCAUAUACUGUCGAGAUGUAUUAACUUCCUUAAAUGUACCAGUAAAACAACCUCUUAUGAUACACUUUAA